rnacentral:rRNA from 1 species
CCUACGGGAGGCAGCAGUGAGGAAUAUUGGUCAAUGGACGAGAGUCUGAACCAGCCAAGUAGCGUGAAGGAUGACUGCCCUAUGGGUUGUAAACUUCUUUUAUAUGGGAAUAAAACGUUCCACGUGUGGGAUUUUGUAUGUACCAUAUGAAUAAGGAUCGGCUAACUCCGUGCCAGCAGCCGCGGUAAUACGGAGGAUCCGAGCGUUAUCCGGAUUUAUUGGGUUUAAAGGGAGCGUAGGUGGAUUGUUAAGUCAGUUGUGAAAGUUUGCGGCUCAACCGUAAAAUUGUAGUUGAAACUGGCAGUCUUGAGUACAGUAGAGGUGGGCGGAAUUCGUGGUGUAGCGGUGAAAUGCUUAGAUAUCACGAAGAACUCCGAUUGCGAAGGCAGUUCACUGGACUUCAACUGACACUGAGGCUCGAAAGUGUGGGUAUCAAACAGGAUUAGAUACCCCAGUAGUC